UGCUGGUAGUGAUGCUCACAGGACUGGGAGGUCGGGACUCAAGAAUAACGGGACAAACAGGAUUACUGGGCCUCACUUUUCUCCUAGUGGUGCUCCGAGGGUUGCUCGGCCUCCCCUCAGGUCUGGAAGGCUGUACAUAAGACUGGACCAGGCCAACGGGGCUAACAGGCCGUCUAUUGGGGGGCCGAGGGUUGCUUGGCCUCCCCUCAGGUCUGGAAGGCUGUACGUCAGGCUGGACCAGGCCAACGGGGCUAACAGGCCGUCUAGUGGGGGGCCGAGGGUUGCUUGGCCUCCCCUCAGGUCUGGAAGGCUGUACGUCAGGCUGGACCAGGCCAACGGGGCUAACAGGCCGUCUAGUGGGGCGUCGAGAGUUGCUCGGCCUCCCCUCAGGUCUGGAAGGCUGUACGUCAGGCUGGACCAGGACAACUGGUCUAACAGGCCGUCUUGUGGGGCGUCGAGGGUUGCUAGGCCUCCCCUCAGGUCUAGUGAUGCUGACAGGGAUUCUAGGAAUCAUCAUCUCAUGCUGGUGCAGGCUCUCUGGGCUGCUGGGCCGGGAAUCAGGUAGAAGCUUGUAGUUCUUCAG
rnacentral:lncRNA from 1 species